AGUAGUAGUGUGCUUGCUUAACUUGCCUGA
rnacentral:piRNA from 1 species